UACGUAGGGUGCGAGCGUUAAUCGGAAUUACUGGGCGUAAAGCGUGCGCAGGCGGUUCGUUGUGUCGGCGGUGAAAGCCCCGGGCUUAACCUGGGAAUGGCCGUCGAAACUGGCGAACUGGAGUGUGGCAGAGGGGGGUGGAAUUCCGCGUGUAGCAGUGAAAUGCGUAGAGAUGCGGAGGAACACCGAUGGCGAAGGCAGCCCCCUGGGCUGACACUGACGCUGAGUGAGCGAAAGCCAGGGGAGCAAACGGG
rnacentral:rRNA from 1 species